UAUUUGAGAGUUUGAUCCUGGCUCAGGAUGAACGCUGGCGGCGUGCCUAACACAUGCAAGUCGAGCGAACCCUUCGGGGUGAGCGGCGGACGGG
rnacentral:rRNA from 1 species